UACGGGAGGCAGCGGGGGGAAUAUUGCACAAUGGGCGCAAGCCUGAUGCAGCCAUGCCGCGUGUAUGAAGAAGGCCUUCGGGUUGUAAAGUACUUUCAGUCGUGAGGAAGGUGUUAAGGUUAAUAACCUUAGCAAUUGACGUUAGCGACAGAAGAAGCACCGGCUAACUCCGUGCCAGCAGCCGCGGUAAUACGGAGGGUGCGAGCGUUAAUCGGAAUUACUGGGCGUAAAGGGCACGCAGGCGGUUAAUUAAGUUGGAUGUGAAUCCCCGGGCUUAACCUGGGAAUGGCAUUCAAGACUGGUUAGCUAGAGUCUUGUAGAGGGGGUAGAAUUCCAUGUGUAGCGGUGAAAUGCGUAGAGAUGUGGAGGAAUACCGGUGGCGAAGGCGGCCCCUGGACAAAGACUGACGCUCAUGUGCGAAAGCGUGGGGAGCAAACGAGGAUUAGACUAC
rnacentral:rRNA from 1 species